UGGGAACAAUAUUACUUUGGGCUCAUCCCUCACUGCUCGGGACAAUGAUUCGUGGGCAUCCCCAUCUGGAGAAUUUGCUUUUGGAUUCCAAGAGAUUAUACCUGGAGGGUUCUUACUAGCUAUCUGGUUCGACAAAAUACCUGAAAAGACCAUAGUUUGGUCAGCCAAUGGCGAUAAUCUAGUGCAGACAGGAUCCAGGGUUGAGCUUACCAGUAAUGGUGAGUUUGUGCUGAAUGACCCAUCAGGGAAAGAGGUUUGGAGGGCUGAUUCUGGGGGGACUGAAGUCAGCUAUGCAGCCAUGCUCGACACUGGAAACUUUGUGCUGGCGAGCCAAGAAUCCAGCAAUCUGUGGGAGAG
rnacentral:lncRNA from 1 species